rnacentral:rRNA from 1 species
AUUGAACGCUGGCGGCAUGCUUUACACAUGCAAGUCGAACGGUAACAGGUUAAGCUGACGAGUGGCGAACGGGUGAGUAAUGCAUCGGAACGUGCCCGAUCGUGGGGGAUAACGCAGCGAAAGCUGCGCUAAUACCGCAUACGAUCUGAGGAUGAAAGCGGGGGACCGUAAGGCCUCGCGCGAUCGGAGCGGCCGAUGUCAGAUUAGGUAGUUGGUGAGGUAAAGGCUCACCAAGCCGACGAUCUGUAGCUGGUCUGAGAGGACGACCAGCCACACUGGGACUGAGACACGGCCCAGACUCCUACGGGAGGCGGCAGUGGGGAAUUUUGGACAAUGGGCGCAAGCCUGAUCCAGCAAUGCCGCGUGCAGGAAGAAGGCCUUCGGGUUGUAAACUGCUUUUGUACGGAGCGAAAAGGCUCUCUCUAAUACAGGGGGCUCAUGACGGUACCGUAAGAAUAAGCACCGGCUAACUACGUGCCAGCCGCCGCGGUAA